CUACAAGUGAGCAGCUAUCAAAAGUGACCAACAUGGAACUUGAGUAUGGCCACACUGAUGCUACAAACCCAUAUGUUUUCUACUUACACAUUACUUACUGAUUCUUUCAUCUGUUCUCAUCCACAGAAAGUGAGAGUUUCUCAUGCACAGAAUGUGCAUUAGUGGUGAUGGAAUUUCUUCUAGGAGACAGAGAAACCCACAGUAAUGGAUUAAAAGAACCUGACCAAAAAGAUAUGCAGCUAGAAGUAGCAGAUGACCCUUGUUAUGGCUUGGUUAUGUCCUCCAAGGUAUGUUCCCCAGGGUAGUACCCUCAGGAAGGUGGUAGAAGCUUUAGGAGAUCCUUAGAUCACUGGGUUAUGCCCUUGAAGGGACUGAUGAGACCAUAACCUCUUCUUUCUGUUUGCUUCCU
rnacentral:lncRNA from 1 species